rnacentral:lncRNA from 1 species
UUGACAGGAGGAUUCCCAGGAGGAACAGACACAUUUGAAUGCACAUGAGAAGGACCAGACACAUUUCCCUUAGAAGGAGGUAUUUCAACACUAGUGGAGACAUGAGCAGCAGCAGGUCUCCUUCCGUUGUUGUAUUUGAUACUUUGAGGAUACCCAUGUAUCUUAUAACACUUAUCAAUUAAGUGCCCAGAUUUCUUGCAGUAUCUGCAAAACAGGGGUCCUUUAUUUGACUCAAAAUUAACUUUGGGUCUGAAAACAGAAGAACUAGGCACUGAGGCCUGAUUAAACCCAACUGGAUGCUUAUUUGUGCUAGCAUUAAAAGACAUGGAGUCUGGACUGAAUUGAGAAACAGAUUGAACUUAUCCCCAUUUCUCAUCAUUAAGCACUAUGUUGUAAACACUGUCAAGGGAAGGAAAAGGCUGCAUCAUCAAU